rnacentral:lncRNA from 1 species
AUGGAGAGAUACCUUUCAGCCCCACCAUACGGGAUGCUAAAAGGGAACAGGUCACCUUCUGAGUCUAGUGAAGAGUUGUUUUUUUCUAGUGACCUGUCUUCAAAGCACUAUGAAGAGGCCAAAAAGAAAACUCCAAAGCUACCUAGUCAAACCUCUGUUGGAUUUUACAUUUCAUCCACUUAUCCCUGGAGAGAGAAAAAAGAAGAGGUAGCUGUGGAGCCUGUCAUUUGUUCAGAGGAGGCCAUGAUCAUCCUUCCUGGCAGUACUGACUGACCUUCAGCACCCAACAUGUUGCUUCAAGUUACAGCUGUAAGUUCAGGAAUCUAAAAUGCACUGUGGUUUCUGUCUGAUCCUAAUACCUUGAAAAGUAUAGGAAAUUGACUUAUUAAAAUAAGCCUUACUGUGCCUUAAAAAAAAAAAAAAAAAAAAAAAGCUGAUAAUGUGAUAAUUAAGAUAAAGGUAUUCUAGUUAAAAAGAACCAGAAACCGCUAUGUUCUUAUCUUAUGUAAAUGCUACACUGUGCAAAUCCUCUCAGGCUUAGUCUGACUUGGCCAGUGUAACAUUUCAGCUGUUAUAUUUCAACUGUAAUAAUAAGCAAAAUAUAAUCUUAACAGAUCUUAUCAAAUCACCACAAUCCUUCCACACUCAAGGACAAAGUAACUCCUCAUCAAUGUUAUGUUCUCUGUAAGGGGUUCUUUUGGGGUUUUGAGACUUUUUCUUCCCUUUCUGAAGGAACAAGAGGAGUAUUUGCUAAAAAAAUAGACCAGUCUGUGUUCCUAAGAGCCUAAGAAUGCUGUCUCCUUGUGGAUUACAGCUGGCAGCUGAAAGGUGUAAAGUUUUACAAUUUACAGUGCUGGGAUUUCUUCUUCUUUUUAAUCUCUGCUACUCCAAAACCUUUGGUUUUCUUGGCGAGCUGUGAAACUUUAGAUUGCUAGUUAAAUAGAAAGUUCUGCCUGCAAAUAUUGUAAUGGAUAUACGAACGAGAGGGAAUGUAUAGUAAAUGAAUGCAGAAUGCAUUAAUAUUGUCUAGUGUGGGGAUAAAGGGUGAAACUAUUGGAACAUUUUAGCAGCUACAGGAACUGUCAUAAGAAUGAG